UGUUGAUGGCUGGACAUUGCAUCAUCCUAAAAAACUUGGAGGCCAGUAUGGAAAAAAAUAAAAAGUUAUAAGACUUUUAAGAAUGUGGAUUUUUGGGUUAUAUUUGGUGCCCCCUAGAACCCAAACCGUGGGGUGCAGCAAGAUGAUUUGUACAACUUUUAAUGGCCAUGGGGUGUAGAUUGGCCUGAGCAAAUUUGGUGCCGGUGGAAAGAUAGCCUUCGGAGGAGUUAGUGAAAUUCCAAUGUGUGCGGAUCAGCAAAAAAUGCAAAAUAGCCCUUUAACCGUACAUUUGACAGAUACAUGCCCUUUGACUUUUUCGUAGAUCUUAUUGAGAUACACGUGAUUGUCAAAUUUUGUGUCAAUAUGACAAAGCAUACAGGCGUGACACUCGACAAUGUGUAUUUUGACCUUUGGAGACAAGAAAAAAUGGACCUUUUUCUCCUGCCAUUGGGGGGCGCUCUUUUGGGGAGUAAAAAUUCCUUCACAAAUGUGUUGAUGGCUGGACAUUGCAUCAUCCUAGAAAACUUGGAGGCCAGUGAGGACAAAAGUAAAAAGUUAUAAGACUUUUAAUAAUGUGGAUUUUUGGGUUAUCUUUGGCGCCCCCUAGAACGUAAACCGUGGGGUGCAGCGUCAUGAUUUGUACAACUUUUAAUGGCCAUGGGGUGUAGAUUGGCCUGCGCAAAUGUGGUGCCGGUCGAACGAAAGCCUUCGGAGGAGUUAGCGAAAUUCCAAUGUGUGCAGAUCUGCAAAAAAUGAAAAAUAACCCAUUAACCGUACAUUUGACAGAUACGCCCGCACUGACUUUUUUGUAGAUCUUAUUGAGAUACACGUGUGUGUCAAUUUUUGUGUCAAUAUGACAAUGCGUACAGCCGUCAUGUGAAUUUUCACCUUAGGGGGCGCUAUGGAGCCAUUUUGCAUUUUAUUGUUUGGGCGACUUCAGAAUAUCGAAUUUUUCACCAGGCCCGGUCGUCCUGCCAAAUUUCCUGAGUUUUCGCCAGUGGGAAGUGGGCCAUUUUCCAGUUUAAAGCGGAGGAAAAAUAAUAACGAAAGAAGGAAACAUGCAGGAACAAGAGGGCUCUCGCAGCUGCUUAGCAGCUACGCUCGGGCCCUAAAGAAAGAAACAAAGACUAGGGCCCCGUUGGGGCACUGUCGGGCCCGAGCCGCGUCGCGCCGCCCCCAGCGCGACCGCCUCCCCCUCCCGAUCGCGUCACACUCAAGGUCCAAAGAUGGUGUGCGCACUUGUCUGUGGUCAUUUCCCAUUAUAAUGAAUGGGAGGCGCAGUUUCUACCAAAACACUCGCUGCAGACAAACUACAUGUCCUAUUUGAAAAAAGUCUGGACCAUGAGUGAGGGCACAAACACAGCUAGGAUAUAUCCAAAUGGCAAGUUGCUCCUCCUUACGGUGUUGCCGGGAGAGCGAUGCGAUUGAGCCAUUGACCGAUGGGCAUGGUUAACUUGACUUUUUCUCCUGCCUUGGGGGGGGGGGGGGGAUGUGGAUUCUUUUAAGAAUGUGGAUAUUUGGGUCAUCUUUGGCGCCCCCUAGAACGUAAACCGUGGGGCGCAGCGUCAUGAUUUCUACAACUUUGAAUGGCCAUGGGAUGUAGAUCGGCUUGAGCAAAUUUGGUGUUGGUGGGACGAAAGCCUUAGGAGGAGUUAGCCACAUUCCAAUGUGUGCGAAUCGGCAAAAAAUGCGAAAUAGCCCUUUAACCGUACAUUUUACAGAUACGUGCCCAUUGAUAUUUUCGUAAAUCUUAUUGAGAUACACGUGUGUGUCAAAUUUUGUGUCAUUUUGACAAAGCGUAUAGGCGUGACAGUCAACAAUGUGUUUUUUCACCUUAGGGGACAAGAAAAAAUUGACUUUUUUCUCCUGCCAUGGGGGGGCGCUCUUUUCGGGAGUAAAAAUUCCUUUACAAAUGUGUUGAUGGCUGGACAUUACAUCAUCCUAGAGAACUUGGAGGCCAGUGAGGAAAAAAAUAAAAAGUUAUAAGACUUUUAAGAAUGUGGACUUUUUGGUUAUCUUUGGCGCCCCCUAGAACCUAAACCGUGGGGUGCAGCGUCAUGAUUUGUACAACUUUCGAUGGCCAUGGGGUGUAGAUUGGCCUGAGCAAAUGUGGUGCCGGUGGAACGAAAGCCUUCGGAGGAGUUAGCGAAAUUUCAAUGUGUGCGGAUCGGCAAAAAAUGCGAAAUAACCCUUUAACCGUACAUUUGACAGAUACGCCCGCACUGACUUUUUUGUAGAUCUUAUUGAGAUACAUGUGUGUGUCAAUUUUUGUGUCAAUAUGACAAAGCGUACAGGCGUGACAGUCAACAGUGUGAAUUUCCACCUUAGGGGGCGCUAUGGAGCCAUUUUGCAUUUUAUUGUUUGGGCGACUUCAGAAUAUCGAAUUUUUCACCAGGCCCGGUCGUCCUGCCAAAUUUCAUGAGUUUUCGCCAGUGGGAAGUGGGCCAUUUUCCAGUUCAAAGGGGAGGAAAAAGAAGAAAGAAAGAAAGAAAGAAAGAAAGAAAGAAAGA